UCGUCAUCGUAGGGUUAGUCGGGUCCUAAGCCGAGUCCGAAAGGGGUAGGUGAUGGCAAAUUGGUUAAUAUUCCAAUACCAACAUUAGUGUGCGAUGGAAGGACGCUUAGGGCUAAGCAAGCUAGCGGAUGGAAGUGCUAGUCUAAGGAUGUAGGAGCUUAUAUAGGCAAAUCCGUAUAAGAAUACUCCGAGAUCUUAAAGGCUUUUUGAAGUCUUCGGAUGGAUAGAAGAAUUGCUGAUGCCGUCGAGCCAAGAAAAGUUUCUAAGUUUAGCUAAUGUUGCCCGUACCGUAAACCGACACAGGUGGGUGGGAUGAGUAUUCUAAGGCGCGUGGAAGAACUCUCUUUAAGGAACUCUGCAAAAUAGCACCGUAUCUUCGGUAUAAGGUGUGGUUCGCUUUGUAUUAGAAUUUACUUCGAAAGCAAAGAAACUUACAACAAAGAGUCCCUCCCGACUGUUUAC
rnacentral:rRNA from 1 species